UCCGGUCUACCUGCAGUUUGAAACAAAACAAUGGCGGCAGAGACCUUGAGCAAUUCAGUGAAGUCUCUUAAAGCAGCACCUUUUGAGAGAAGAACGUUCCAGCAGAAGCUCGACGUUAAAGAAAGCGGGCCCGACCAGCCGAACAUUAAAAUUAAGCAGAAGUCAAAAGACAGAGGGAGAGAAUACACGAAGUCUUUCUUUAAGAGCUGGUUUAGCAACAGGGCCUGGCUAGCGGCGUGCAGCGAGACGAAUGCUCUGUUUUGUUUCCCCUGCCUGCUUUUCCCCACGUCAGCAUGUGAUUCCGCAUGGACAAGAAUAGGUUUGUGACACCAUCAUGUGCCAUAUAAGUGAAAGAUUUGCCUUCACAAAGCAUCUGAUUAGUGCUACACUGCUAUGUGCAGCCAGAUUUCAGGAGUACCACAGCCAGUUUCCUGAAGCAGCACUGAACACCACCAUCGAGGCUUACCCAUUGCUGAACAAGAGCAGGCUGAAAACUGAACUGGCUCUAGUCUACAGCAAUGAUGAGUUCCGGAACUGCAGUGGUGUUGUGACUCUGUACCAGCUUUUCAUGGAGAACAAUCUUCAGGACAUCUUCUCGGAUACGGUGGCUCUGCUGAAGAGCCUCAUCACGACGCCGAGGACCACAGCUGAAUCUGAGAGGUGUUGCUCAACACUGGAGAGAAUCAAGACCUUCCUCAGGAACACAAUGUCACAGGAUCAUCUCAAUGCAUUAGCCAUGCUCUUUAUUGAGAGGAAUCUUGUCAAAAACAUCCCUGACUUUAACCAUAGUGUCAUUGAUAAAUUUGCCUCAAGGACAGAAGGGCAAAAUUUAUGUACAAAAAAUAGAACAUUGCAUGACACCAUCAGAUGACGUCACAAUUUGUGAAAUGCGCAAUUUUUUGUUUUCUUUUGUAAUCCUGCUCACUUGAACGUUUUUGCAAUACUUCUGCAACCUGCAGUACUUGAACAGUUGACUCCAAUGCUUGCAUCUUUGCAAUUAUAUGGAUGUUUUUUGCACUAGCUGAACUACGACUGCCAAAGUCAAAUACAGUGCUUUUUUUCAAAUGGCCAUUGUUUUAAAUUGGUUCUUACGUCUUCAAUAUUUAUCUUUUGUAAUUUAAAAGUUUUUUUCAAUUUGUCAGUGGAGGGAGACUUGCAAAGAGAGUUUCAGUGCUACUUUUGUUU